GUAGGUGGCAAGCGUUGUCCGGGAAUUAUUGGGGCGUAAAGCGCGCGCAGGCGGUUCUUUAAGUCUGAUGUGAAAGCCCACGGGCUCAACCGUGAGGGUCAUUGGAAACUGGAGAACUUGAAUACAGAAGAGGAAAGCGGAAUUCCACGUGUAGCGGUGAAAUGCGUAGAGAUGUGGAGGAACACCAGUGGCGAAGGCGGCUUUCUGGUCUGUAACUGACGCUGAGGCGCGAAAGCGUGGGGAGCAAACAGGAUUAGAUACCCUGGUAGUCCACGCCGUAAACGAUGAGUGCUAAGUGUUAGGGGGUUUCCGCCCCUUAGUGCUGCAGCUAACGCAUUAAGCACUCCGCCUGGGGAGUACGGCCGCAAAGGCUG
rnacentral:rRNA from 1 species